rnacentral:rRNA from 1 species
UACGUAGGGGGCAAGCGUUAUCCGGAAUUAUUGGGCGUAAAGAGCUCGUAGGCGGUUUGUCGCGUCUGCUGUGAAAGACCGGGGCUCAACUCCGGUUCUGCAGUGGGUACGGGCAGACUAGAGUGCAGUAGGGGAGACUGGAAUUCCUGGUGUAGCGGUGAAAUGCGCAGAUAUCAGGAGGAACACCGAUGGCGAAGGCAGGUCUCUGGGCUGUAACUGACGCUGAGGAGCGAAAGCCAGGGAGCAAACGGG